rnacentral:rRNA from 1 species
GUUGAACGCUGGCGGCAUGCUUUACACAUGCAAGUCGAACGGUAACAGGGUGCUUGCACCGCUGACGAGUGGCGAACGGGUGAGUAAUGCGUCGGAACGUGCCGAGUAGUGGGGGAUAACGCAUCGAAAGGUGUGCUAAUACCGCAUACGUACUGAGGUAGAAAGUGGGGGACCUUCGGGCCUCACGCUAUUCGAGCGGCCGACGUCUGAUUAGCUAGUUGGUGAGGUAAAGGCUCACCAAGGCGACGAUCAGUAGCGGGUCUGAGAGGAUGAUCCGCCACACUGGGACUGAGACACGGCCCAGACUCCUACGGGAGGCAGCAGUGGGGAAUUUUGGACAAUGGGCGCAAGCCUGAUCCAGCCAUGCCGCGUGUCUGAAGAAGGCCUUCGGGUUGUAAAGGACUUUUGUCCGGGAGCAAAUACCCAGUGCUAAUAACGCUGGGGGCUGAGAGUACCGGAAGAGUAAGCACCGGCUAACUACGUGCCAGCAGCCGCAGUAAAAC